rnacentral:rRNA from 1 species
GACGAACGCUGGCGGCGUGCUUAACACAUGCAAGUCGAACGGAAAGGCCCUGCUUGCAGGGUACUCGAGUGGCGAACGGGUGAGUAACACGUGGGUGAUCUGCCCUGCACUUCGGGAUAAGCCUGGGAAACUGGGUCUAAUACCGGAUAUGACCUUCCAUGUAGUGUGGGGGGUGGAAAGAUUUAUCGGUGUGGGAUGAGCCCGCGGCCUAUCAGCUUGUUGGUGGGGUAAUGGCCUACCAAGGCGUCGACGGGUAGCCGGCCUGAGAGGGUGGACGGCCACAUUGGGACUGAGAUACGGCCCAGACUCCUACGGGAGGCAGCAGUGGGGAAUAUUGCACAAUGGGCGGAAGCCUGAUGCAGCGACGCCGCGUGGGGGAUGACGGCCCUCGGGUUGUAAACCUCUUUCGACAGGGACGAAGCUUCGGUGACGGUACCUGUAUAAGAAGCACCGGCUAACUACGUG